rnacentral:rRNA from 1 species
GAUGAACGCUGGCGGCGUGCCUCAAACAUGCAAGUCGAGCGGGGCUAUGUAAUAUCGCAAGGUAGAACAUAGCCUAGCGGCGAACGGGUGAGUAACACGUGGGUAACCUGCCUGGAAGACAGGGAUAACGAUUCGAAAGGGUCGCUAAUACCUGAUAAUAUCCUUUCAUCGCAUGGUGAUAGGAAGAAAGGGGAAACCCGCUUUCAGAUGGGCCCGCGUCCCAUCAGCUAGUUGGUAAGGUAAAGGCUUACCAAGGCGACGACGGGUAGCCGGUCUGAGAGGAUGUACGGCCACACUGGGACUGAGAUACGGCCCAGACUCCUACGGGAGGCAGCAGUUGGGAAUCUUAGGCAAUGGACGAAAGUCUGACCUAGCGACGCCGCGUGAGGGAAGAAGGCCUUCGGGUUGUAAACCUCUGUCAUGGGGGAAGAUAAUGACGGUACCCUAGGAGGAAGCCCCGGCUAACUACGUG